UACGUAGGGUGCGAGCGUUAAUCGGAAUAAUUGGGCGUAAAGGGUGUGUAGGCGGUUCAUCAAGACGGAUGUGAAAUCCCCGGGCUUAACCUGGGCAUGGCAUACGUGACUGGUGGACUAGAAUAUAACAGAGGGAGGUGGAAUUCCACAUGUAGCAGUGAAAUGCGUAGAUAUGUGGAGGAACAUCGAUGGCGAAGGCAGCCUCCUGGGUUGAUAUUGACGCUGAGGCACGAAAGCGUGGGGGAGCAAACAGGG
rnacentral:rRNA from 1 species